rnacentral:rRNA from 1 species
CCUACGGUGUGCUGCCGUGGGGAAUAUUGCACAAUGGGCGCAAGCCUGAUGCAGCCAUGCCGCGUGUGUGAAGAAGGCCUUCGGGUUGUAAAGCACUUUCAGCGGGGAGGAAGGCGGUGAGGUUAAUAACCUCAUCGAUUGACGUUACCCGCAGAAGAAGCACCGGCUAACUCCGUGCCAGCAGCCGCGGUAAUACGGAGGGGGCAAGCGUUAAUCGGAAUUACUGGGCGUAAAGCGCACGCAGGCGGUCUGUCAAGUCGGAUGUGAAAUCCCCGGGCUCAACCUGGGAACUGCAUUCGAAACUGGCAGGCUAGAGUCUUGUAGAGGGGGGUAGAAUUCCAGGUGUAGCGGUGAAAUGCGUAGAGAUCUGGAGGAAUACCGGUGGCGAAGGCGGCCCCCUGGACAAAGACUGACGCUCAGGUGCGAAAGCGUGGGGAGCAAACAGGAUUAGAUACCCCUGUAGUC